rnacentral:rRNA from 1 species
GUUGUAUAGUCAAGUAAUUAAGUGCAUGUGGUGGAUGCCUUGGCAGUCAGAGGCGAUGAAAGACGUGAUAGCCUGCGAAAAGCUCCGGGGAGGCGGCAAAUAUCCUUUGAUCCGGAGAUGUCUGAAUGGGGGAACCCACCUACUUUAAGGUAGGUAUUGCAACAUGAAUACAUAGUGUUGCAAGGCGAACGAGGGGAAGUGAAACAUCUCAGUACCCUUAGGAAAAGAAAUCAAUUGAGAUUCCCUCAGUAGCGGCGAGCGAACGGGGGUCAGCCCAUUAAGUUAUGUGUGUUUUAGUGGAACGCUCUGGGAAGUGCGA